ACGGAGCAACGCCGCGUGAGUGAUGAAGGUUUUCGGAUCGUAAAACUCUGUUGUCAGGGAAGAACAAGUACCGGAGUAACUGCCGGUACCUUGACGGUACCUGACCAGAAAGCCACGGCUAACUACGUGCCAGCAGCCGCGGUAAUACGUAGGUGGCAAGCGUUGUCCGGAAUUAUUGGGCGUAAAGCGCGCGCAGGCGGUUCCUUAAGUCUGAUGUGAAAGCCCCCGGCUCAACCGGGGAGGGUCAUUGGAAACUGGGGAACUUGAGUGCAGAAGAGAAGAGUGGAAUUCCACGUGUAGCGGUGAAAUGCGUAGAGAUGUGGAGGAACACCAGUGGCGAAGGCGACUCUUUGGUCUGUAACUGACGCUGAGGCGCGAAAGCGUGGGGAGCAAACAGGAAUAGAUACCCUGG
rnacentral:rRNA from 1 species